UGGGGAAUCUUGGACAAUGGGCGCAAGCCUGAUCCAGCCAUGCCGCGUGAGUGAAGAAGGCCUUAGGGUUGUAAAGCUCUUUCGCCCGCGAAGAUAAUGACGGUAGCGGGAGAAGAAGCCCCGGCUAACAUCCGUGCCAGCAGCCGCGGUAAUACGGAGGGGCGUAGCGUUGUCCGGAGUCACUGGGCGUAAAGCGCGCGUAGGCGGCGCGGUAAGUCGGGUGUGAAAGCCCGGGGCUCAACCCGACGCGCAUCCGAGACUGCCGUGCUUGAGUCCGAGAGAGGGCGGCGGAAUUCCCAGUGUAGAGGUGAAAUUCGUAGAUAUUGGGAAGAACACCGGUGGCGAAGGGCGGCCGCCUUGGCUUCGGAACUGACGCUGAGGCGCGAAAGCGUGGGGAGCAAAACA
rnacentral:rRNA from 1 species